CCAAUGCAGACAGUACCUAUGGCUCCAGUCACACAUAAUUUGGGCUAGCCUGAGUUUUGUGGGGAAGAUACAUCUGGAAAAGGAGUAAAGAUUAAAACUGAUUUAUGUUGAAACAUUUUAAUGUCAACAUAAAACAUGAUUCAGACCAAAAAACAGCGUGCCAUUG
rnacentral:lncRNA from 12 species